rnacentral:snRNA from 1 species
AUUGCUUCUCGGCCUUUUGGCUAAGACCAAGUGUAGUACAUCUGUUCUUAUCAGUUUAACACCUCUUCACUUUACAGUCAUCAUUAACCAGCUUUCGGAAUGUCAUGGAGUGUUUAAACGGGAUGAAAUAUUCCCUGUAUAAUCUUAUAUUU